GUCUUACACAAGCCUCUUAUUUACCUAGAAGGAAAUGGAGACACUGAGAAUUUAAGUGAUUUGCCCAAAGGCAGUUAAUAGUGCUGGGACCAGAAUUCAGAUCUCCUAGUGCCCAAAGCCUUGAGCAUCCUAAACAUGCACUUUAACACUGAGCUACACUUCCAGCCACCAGGCAAAAACACUUUAUAUUUCCUUACUUUGCUUUUUGUGGCAUUACCUUUUGCAAGUGGGUUUUUUUUUCAGACUAUUUGAUGCAAAUUUAUCCUAUUUUAAACACUAGGUCUUUAACUCUUUUAAAUAAUCCAAUAACUCAAACCCCAAACAGCAUACACAUUAAAAUUAACAUUUUUCUAACAUUGAGGCCUCUUAGCAUUUCCCUAAAAUUAAUGGAUGGCACAUGAAAUUCCAAAUUCUCUGAAUGUCACAAAAUCUGAACCUUGCAUUCAUGUUUGAAACACAAUGUGUUUUCACUAUUUUAUUUCUGUUUCUUGUCAUAUUAAAACUCUUAACAUGCUUCUCAAAAAGGGGGGACAUAUGUAUUAAAUAAGAAAAUGCUGUCAUGUAGAACACAGAUGGCAGGGCAUUUUUGGCAGAAAGGAAGUUUAACAACGCGUUUUACUGAUUUACUUGGAAAACUAAUGUGCAUGAAUGUUCAAGUUAAGCAGUAAGAAAUUAAUUGCUAUUUUACAAUAAUCAGUUCAUUUUUUCCCUAAUCUAAUUUAGCCCUAUUUCCAUAACAUUAUAACAGGGAAAGGGAUCACAUGUGAUUGUAAAUAAACAACUAAGAGUGUCCAGGAUAGGAAUAGAAGAAUGGAGGAAGAAGAAACUGCUAGCAUUUUAUGGUAACUAACCAUGUUGCUUGUCAUUGAUAAAAAUCAUUAACAAGAGGUAAUGACUGUGUAGUUAGAGUGCAUGUGUUUUUAAUAUGAUACAUAGAGUCAUUGACUGUGUCCGUUUGGGUAUAAAAACAGCGGGCAAGAGUUUAUCAAAUUUCAGAUUUGGCUGACUCAGAGGGCCCACCCAUAUGCAAAGGGUCCUGUGCCAGAAAGUAAGCAUAGAUGAAUGGUGAAUAUUUCUCCAGGAUGUCAGGUUUCUAUUUUGUGGUAAAUACAGCCUUACACACACACUGAAGUAUUCUGUAUUCUAAGGUUUAACAUUUAAAAAUGGAAUUUCUAAUCAGCUGAUCACUGAUGUAGUGCUGGAGGAAAAUUUGGUUUGUGUCAUAUGAUGCCAUAUGUACUUUAAAUAAUUUUGUGUUUCAACAACAAACCAAAAACAGAACAUUUGACAGUUAUGUUGCAUGUGAGAUCCAGAAGGCUCCAACCUGGAAAAACUCUUCCCACAAUCCAACAUUAGGCUCCAUAAAAUCUUGCUGGGCAUGGUGGCACAUGCCUGAAAUUCCAGCAACUUAGGAACUGAGGCAGGAUAAUCACAAGUUCCAGGUCACCCUCAGUAAGUUAGUGAGGCCCUAAGCAAUUUAGCAAGAC
rnacentral:lncRNA from 1 species